ensembl:lncRNA
AGAGAGGUUUCCUUUUCAGGCAAUAAACCUGCUUGUGGAAUAGACAAGCACCAGGCAUCUCAGAACAGAGAUGCACAGCAGAAGCAGGAAGCAGAUGAAUGAGUUUACCUUUUGCUGCUUGGUCCUUUCAUCAGAAGCCAGUCAUGUCAUGUCAGGUGAACUUUGAUAUGGUGGAUGGUGACUCUUCUCCUGCAUGCGAGUGGUGGUUCAAACCAGUGAAGAGACUUCAGACCUGUGGUGACAGAGGCCUUAAAACCUCACAGGGAGACAUCCUUGGAGCUCCAUGGCCAGGAAGUGCGGGAGGAAACAGGACUUUCAAAGCAGAAAAAGCCCACCAUGUUCCUGCCCAAGCGAGGCCACGCCAGCCGAGGGUACCCUGUGCAGAGGGCCAGUGGGGCCCCAUACAGCCAGCACCUGCCACAAAAGACGAGUUGGACCACGCAAGUCUUAGUUUGAAUGAUACAUUCACUCAGCCAGUAUUUAUCAAGCAUCCCCUACAUGGCGAAGGCUUGGGACCCGAGAGGGAGGCUGGAAUCGAGUGGCAACAGCUCGCCGCACACUGUGUGGUAAGAACCUUCAGGAAGAGGCCCAGAGGCCUGGAAAGCACGUGACAGCAGAGUUGGGUCUGGGCUGGGGGACGGUGUCCGGGAAGUCAUGUUGGAUUGGAAAGCCGAAAGAGAAGUUGGUGUUAAACUAUGUGAAAUAGAGAAUGAGGCAUUCCAGGAGGAGGAAGCAGCUUGGGUGGCAUGUUUGAGAAGUCAGAACAGCAGAUAAAUGGAUGGACCUAGAGUCUGUCAUACAGAGUGAAGGAAGUCAAAGAGGGAAACAAGCAUAGCAUAUUAACGCAUAUAUAUGGAAUCCAGAAAAAUGGUAUAGACGAACCUAUUUGCAGGGCAGGACAGAGACCCAGACGUAGAGAGCAGACAUGUGGGCACGGGAUGGGGAGGGCAGUGGACCAAGUUGGGAGAGGAGCGCUGACAUAUAUGCGCCCCCACGUGUGAAACUGAUCGCGAGGGGGCGCUGCUGUGUAACAGCACAGCUCCGUGCUCUGUGAUGAGCGGAGGUGGGGCGGGCUGAGAGAGGGAGGAGACAGAUGUGAACAUAAAGCGGAUUCACGUUGUUGUACCGCAGAAACUGACAGCAUCAUAAAGCAGUUAUACAUCAAUAAAAAAAUUUUAAACAGAAUUCAAAAUAUAAACGAAGUCAACAGGGUGUAGACAGAGGGGGAGAUGAAAGGCCGACUCUGCUGGCAUUCUGCUUCUAACCCCUGGCUGCUCUCUGCUCCCUACGCACUCCAGAGGCAGCACGGAGGUCCGUCGGCUGGCACGGUGCGGUGGGGCAGCUGGUGUUGUGAAUCAGGCCGUCGCCAAUCAGAGAACGGCUACUUCACAACACCAGGGUCACACCCCACCCCAGGCAGCGCUCCCAGCUCCAGCCCCCAUGCAGCCUCCACCUCGGCCGAUGGCCAUCGCUGGGGCACCGCCAAGCCCCCCAGAACCGCAGCAGGCGGCUUUCCGGUUGACACCUCACGCUGUGCAGACACCACCGCAAACACAGGAGCCCUGAGGCGGUUUCUCCCCAGGCGCAGACAGCUCCACUUGGAAGUGAAAGGCACUCCCACCAGCAUUGGCUUCCUGCAGAGAAAAUGGAGCCACCAGCUUCCCACGUGUCCAAGUAGGCACCAUUCAGGGUGUGGUCCACGGUGGUGGCAUCAGCAUGCUGGGAAGGUGGCCCCCACACGCCUGCUGCAUCACAGUCCUGGGGCCUGGAGCCCAGCCUCAGCUCAGGGACUGGUGUUAACACGACCAGCUCCUGUUGGUCGCCCCACAUCCUCUCCCGCUUCCAUUCCAACCUCAUGUCUUCUUGUUCCAGCCAGAAUGGUCUUUUCCAAACACGUGCCUGUAUCGUGGGAACCCCUCCACUCCCUGCCUUAA